rnacentral:misc_RNA from 1 species
UGAUAAAUCAAUAGCAUGAUUCUGUUAACACUCGUGUAAAUAGCCUCUGUUGUACAUCGUUUGAACUGAAUGAAAACUAUAGACGUGCAUGAUACAUGAGUGCGUUCUGCUUAAUGAAGUCAGAUAAAUGAAUUAAGAUAGACGUCUAAAUUACAAUAACCUGGGCAGAUAGAGUUAAGACGGAUAAAUUCAUAAGCAUGAUUUUGCUUUCACACAUGUGUUUAUGUUAAUAGCGCUGAGAUUAAUCUUUGGAGAAAGCAUAUAGUAGGAAUGCAUUAAACUAGGUCGGAACAAAAUAUUCUGAUGAUGAGGCAAAAAUUUGAAGACGCCCCAGGAGGGGAUACUGUCACAUACGACGUUGUUGAUGAAGAAAAUGGAUACAGACAAUGCACAUUCAGAUUUACAAACGAAAACCAUCAAGAAUACUUCAACAAUAUUCCAAAUAUAAAAUGUAAUGAUGACGAUAUCCUACUUAAUUCAUAUCCAAAGACAGGUACGCACUGGUUAUGGGAAAUGUUGCUAAUGGUAUUAAAGCAGAGCGGGGAGGUAUCGAAUGGUAAUAAGAUUCAUGAGAUGAUUGAAGCAAUACCAACAGAGGUUAUAGAGAAUUCACCAUCACCUAGAGUCAUAAAUACACAUCUGAAGAUCAAAUAUUUGCCAAAGGACGUUUUCAAGAAGAAACUCAAAAUGAUCUUAUUGCUGAGAAAUCCGAAAGAUGUUGUUGUUUCUUUUUUCAAUCAUACAAGAGGAGUUAAAUUCUACGAAUACGACGGAAAAUUUGAAAAUUUCUUAUAACUGUUCAUGAGGGGAGGAGUUGAUUACGGUUCGUACCCAGAAUAUUUGCAAGAAUGGCAGACAUUCAUGAAAGAGAAUCAAGAAGUUCCUAUUCAUGUUGUGUACUAUGAAGGUUUACAACAGGACUGUUUCGGUGAGAUGUGGAAAAUUUGCAAAUUUCUUGGAAAAGAUGUGAGCAGUGACCUGUUGCAAAAGAUUGUUGAAAACUGUCAAAUAGUCAAAAUGCGACAAGCAAAAGAAGACAACAUGACAGAAGAAAUGAAGAAGUCGAGAAUUACUGCACUAGCCAACGACUUUUCUAUGUUUAGAAAAGGUCAAAUUGGAGAUUGGAAAAACUGGUUCACUGUGACACAAAACGAAUGUUUUGAACAAUGGUGGACUGAAAAAACAAAAACGCUUGACAUGUUUACAUUUAAAUAUUGCUAGGAGAUGUUGUAUUAAUGCAAAUACCAUUUUGGAAGGCAAAGAAAUGUCAGUAACGUAAUCAGUAUUCAUUCACUUAUGGUAGCGAAGAUCGGAGAUAGAGGAUAUUAGCCGGUGACAAUGAUUUCUUAGAUUUGAUAUUGCUUAUGUGGUGGCUUUUAUCAACACAAUUUAUCUAAAAUUUUAUUAUGUUUUUUUUUUUAAAUCCUGCAUUUAUAUUUUGUCAAAGUACUUGAAGAUUUUGUAUACUUACUACCAUCGGUUAGACGAAUAAUUUUAAGAGGUAUUUAUUUUGUCAUAGUGCUAUUAAUGUCUAGUGUUUUCAGUAUUUAUUGGACACAUUGACGCGUAUUAAGCAUACAGUUGUAAUCUAGAUUUUAAUUCAUUGACUGAAACAGACCAUAACUUUUUGAGCAUAUAUAUCUUAUUAUUUGCGGACGACUUGGUGUUGUUUACCACUAGCGCACAAAGUUUACAGACACAGUUAGACAGCUUAUAUACAAAUUCCCUUAAAUGGGGUUUAAAGAUAAACGUUAAGAAGACAAAAAUUUGUGUUUUUAGAAAAGGGAGAACAAACAUUAAUUAUAGUUGGUAUAUUAAUAAUGAAAACAUUGAAAUUGUAGAUUCAUUCUGUUAUCUCGGGGUAAAUUUCAAAUACAAUGGGUUAAUGCUAGGUGCAAUGAAAUCUUUGUCUGACCAGGCAUUAAAAGCUAUAAAUAGUUUAUACUCUAUUUUCACAAGAAUCAAGUUCGAUGUUAAAACCAAGUUUUUACUAUUUGAUAGAAUGGUUGAACCUAUUUUGCUCUAUUGUGCAGAAGUGUUCGGUGUUUACAAGACAGAUGUUUUAGACAGAAUUCAGAUAAAGUUUUGUAAAAAGAUUCUAGGAGUUAAACCAUCUACUCCAAAUAUGGCUGUUCUGGGCGAACUUGGAAGAUUACCUAUAUCUGUUUUAUGCAAAGAGAGAGUUUUGAAUUACUGGUUGAGGCUUAAUAAAAAUAGGGAAUCACUGAUGUAUAACAUUUAUCAAAUACAAUAUAAGGAGACAUAUAAUGCUGGAUGUUCAUUUUGGGCAAAAUAGGUUAAGUCGCUUUUAGAGAGUCUUGGGUACGGGUAUCUUUGGAAUAAUUUUGAUGAAAAUAUUUCUUUUAAUGUGUUAAGACCAGUUUGUUCAAAAUUGGAGUGGUAGUGUCCAUAGUAUGUCUAAACUUGACUAUUAUGUUAGAUUUAAGAAUGAAUUUAAAUAUGAAAACUAUCUUGACAUUGUUGAGAACGAAUAUUUGAGAAAACUCUUUACAUGUUUUAGGUUAUCGUCGCAUGCCCUUGCAAUUGAAACUGGAAGAUAUGUGGGAAUAAAUAGAACUAAUAGGAUAUGUAGAAAUUGUAACUUCAACGUUGUCGAAUCUGAAUAUCACUUUUUAUUGACUUGUCCUAAGUAUAGCCAUAUUCGCACUAAAUUCUUACCAAAUACAUCGUGGCCAAAUAUUAACCUUUUCAACAGACUGAUGUCUUCAAAUAAAAAGAAAACAGUAUUAGGAAUUUGCAAAUACCUGAAAGAAGCAUAUAAUGUAAGGAAUCCAGAUUUAUAAAUCUAUACUUCAAAAAACUGGGAAAGUAAAGAAGCUUUGUGUUGAAUUGUAUAAUUUAUAUAUGGUUACCACAAUUAUAUUUGAUAGUACUAUCUAAAUACAUUGUUAAAUAUCUUCAUGUAUGUGCACAUUGUGAUUAAGAUAUAAAAUGUGUUGUUGUUUUUUCUGCUCAUUAGCCAAAGGCAUGUUAUUGCCGAUUUUUGCAAAUAAAUGUGUUGUUGUUGUUGUUGUUGUUGUCUAAAAUGUAGCAUGAAAAGUGUGUAGAAACUCGUCUUAUCCAAAAACUUCUUAUAAUCUAUCACCAUCGUUGAUGCAUAUCGUAUUUUCAGUUCGAUGUAUUAUCAUAAAUGACAAAGAACCAAUAAUUGUUUUGUAUGCCUUUCAAAUAUACUUGUCACUUGUUUGCUUUGAUUUUGUUUGGGCUAAGUCGUUUUGUAUAAAUUCCUAUAAUUCGAAUAGUGUUGUAUUGUUAAAAAGGAGAACAAGACCGUCAUUGAACAGAGGUUGAACGAAAUGUGACGUUCAGUGAUAUUACCACAUUUAGGUAUGCUAAAAUUAUCGGAUGAUCAAGGCCUGCGAAAGGUUUGUCUCCUGAUUUAUCACGGAUCAAAGUUCAGAUGCACAGGAAUUAAAUACGUUGAUCCAAUGUAAAUUAGACGAUAAGCACAAGAAGGCCUUGACUGUUUUCACUUAAACAACUCAUUGAAAUAUUUUAAUAAAAAUUAUGCUGGACUUCGUUUAUCAGAGUACUAACGAAUUGGAAGUUAUGUUGUAAUUUGACGCCGUAAUUGGGCUCAUUUACCAGUGGGUGAAAAGUCGAAAACAUGUCCUGCCGUGUGGGUAAUAAAUUUUGGGAAAUUGGGGACAACUCCGCUGAAAUGUUAUAAUUGUAGACUAAGAUGAGGCAUAAGUGUUUUUCAUUUUCUUCAAACUAUGCACUCUUUAGCUGAAUAAUUAGAAAAGGUGUAAUAACUGUAAUGAUCAAAUUAAGAAAUGCCCUAGUGAAAUUGUGACAUUUUCGGAAAUUACCAGCUAGCAGACGAUUGUUUUUUUUUUUAAACCCACAGAAUUUCACAUUGUUAAGGUGAAAUGUGUUGAUCAACCUACAAAUGGAAACAGAACAAUCUCUACUGCCAAUAAAUAUAUACAUAAAGUAUGGGAAAAAUAUCCAGAAAUAUUACAAAGUGGAAAAAAACAAUUAAAGGAUUGUUAGCCUGCAGAUACCACGGAUAGAUUACUUUUCCGUUGCAUUGAAUAACUUAAACUGUACCAAGUGUUCAAUUGUAUAAACAGGUUGUUUCCCUUGAUUAAAGACGGUUUAAGACAAGUCUCCAUAUAAUUACUCGUAAAAUUCAAUAAGCGUCACAAUGUGAUAAACCAAGUCUAUAUUUCUGCUUAUCUUUGAGUAGUAGAUACAUUGAAUAGUUUUAAAAAUUUCAAAAUACGAGUAAUGCAAUAUUUGACUUUAUAAUUUAUGUAUUUGGAUUGUAAUAAAAAGCAAAUUUAUAUAGCUGAUUUUCGAGUAGUCCAUAAAUGCAAUUACAUGUUCAUAGCGUUUGUGUAUCAUACGUGAACAAGCCCUGUGUUCACAAAACAUUUUCAGUCUCAGCUGAGUUUGAUAAUGAAACUUUAUUUGUCAUUUAUAUCUAAAUAGCAUGUUUAAAACUAAAUUUUAAUUUAAUAACUAUUUUAAAGUGGCUAUUCAGUACUGAUGGUAAGUCAGAGUUGGAAUUUAACCAUGAAGUUUUAGUAAAAUUGAAAAUUGGAUUAAAAACUCAAACUCAGCUGAGUCCGAAAAGUGUUUUGUGAACACGGGACCAGGAAUAUCAGAUGUUUAGGGCUCUCGACCUAUAAAUAAAAGAGAUACGUUACUGGGUAUCAAAAACAUCGGUACGUGGGAAUAGUGUGGUUGUCGAAAGGUGGUUGUGUAAACAGAUAUAACACGUGAAAAUCUUAAUUAAGCAUUAAGAAGACAAGGCACUGGAAGAGCAUCGAACUAUGCCAGGAACAUCACAAUCUCCCGAAAAGGUCCAGAAUACAUCUAACGUUUUGACCACUACACAGCAACAGGUGGUGAAGGAAACAUGGUCCCUCGUGUAUGCAGAUGCCGGGACAAAUGGACUAGAACUUUUUAUGAGGCUUUUCAGACAAAUUCCACAUGCCAAAGGAUAUUUUGAAAAGUUCAAGGACGAGUCGGAAGAAAGUCUGAAACAGAGUGAACUCUUAAAAUUUCAUAUAACCAAAAUGAUGGACAGUAUGAAUUUUCUUGUUGGUAACCUUGGAAACACAGACUGUCUCGUGAAGGAGAUUCAGACAUUAGCACGUGAUCAUAAAGAAAGACGUGUGACGUCACAUGAUUUUAAGCUUGUUUUCGGAAUCCUACAAAACUUACUGAAAGACAUGCUAGGUGAUAAAUUUGAUGACGUGACAGCUACGUCAUGGAAAACAUGUUGUGAUAUUAUUUGGAACAUUGUAGACGCAGAAAUGCAGAAAACUUGACUUCGUUAAGAAAAAAGGGCGCAGAAUUAUCAUUCAUUGGACAUUACUUUUAUCGCUUUAAAAUGUGCAAUAUCAGUUCAAAAUUAUUGCAACACGUUUUCAUUUGGUUAAAUUACAAGUUCUUCUCGAACAACUUUUCUUUAACCGUUGGCAUAUUCAACAGUAUCACAAUGUAGUUAAUUGUGUUUUGAUAAAAUUAAUAUUUUGUGAAAUAAAUCAGUGAUAUUAAAGAAGGAA